AUUGAACGCUGGCGGCAGGCUUAACACAUGCAAGUAGAACGAGGGGCGGACGGGUGAGUAAUGCUUGGGAAUCUAGCUUAUGGAGGGGGAUAACUAAGGGAAACUGUAGCUAAUACCGCGUACAAUAGGAGGAGCCCAAGUGGGAUGAGGUAGUUGGUGAGGUAAAGGCUAACCAAGCCGACGAUCUCUAGCUGGUCUGAGAGGAUGACCAGCCACACUGGGACUUGUACACGGCCCAGACUCCUACGGUAGGCAGCAGUGGGGAAUAUUGCGCAAUGGGGGCAACCUGACGCAGCCAUGCCGCGUGAAUGAAGAAGGCCUUCGGGUUGUAAAGUUCUUUCGGUAGCGAGGCGUUAACUACAGAAGAAGCACCGGCUAACUCCGUGCCAGCAGCCGCGGUAAUAC
rnacentral:rRNA from 1 species